rnacentral:rRNA from 1 species
CACCGCCCGUCAUACUAUAGAAAUUGUCCAUGUUUGAAGUCAUUACCCUUAACUUUAAGGAGGGGGAUGCCUAAGGCUAGGCUUGCGACUGGAGUGAAGUCGUAACAAGGUAGCCGUACUGGAAGGUGCGGCUG